UGACUGCAGCAUUGAAGCAUA
rnacentral:miRNA from 1 species